AUGGCUACCAUCUACGACAUCGCCGUCGGGGCGGCUCUCAACGUAGUCACCGCCGUCGCCUUCCUGCUGCUGUUCGCGUUCCUGCGGCUGCAGCCCAUCAACGACAGAGUCUACUUCCCGAAGUGGUACCUCAAAGGCACGCGGGCCAGCCCGGCUUCCGCGGGCGCCACCGUGGCUGCCGCCAAGUAUAUCAACCUCGACAUGAGGUCCUACCUGAACUUCCUGAGUUGGAUGCCGGCUGCUCUCAAGAUGCCCGACGAUGAGUUGAUCCAGCACGCGGGCCUCGAUUCCGUCGUCUACCUACGGAUAUACCGCACAGGGCUCAAGAUAUUUGUUCCAAUUACAAUUCUUGCUUUUGCCGUUCUGGUCCCUCUGAACUGGACCAAUGAUACACUAGAAACUUUGAAGGUGGUCCACAGUGACAUUGACAAACUUUCUAUAUCCAACAUACCUUAUGGAUCUAAGAGGUUUAUAGCCCACUUGGUUAUGGCCUAUGUAUUUACUUUUUGGACCUGCUAUAUACUUAUGAAGGAAUAUCAAAUAGUUGCAAAGAUGAGAUUGCGCUUUCUUGCUUCGGAGAAACGUCGACCAGAUCAGUUCACUGUUCUUGUACGGAAUAUACCAUCAGAUCCUGACGAAUCAGUUAGUGAGCUCGUGGAACAUUUCUUCCUUGUCAAUCAUCCUGGUCAUUAUCUUAAACAUCAGGUAGUUUACAAUACAAAUAAACUUGCUGGCCUGGUUGAAAAGAAGAAGCAAAUGCAGAAUUGGCUUGAUUACUACCAACUCAAGUUUGAGCGAAAAGCAGAAAGGCCAACAACUAAGACUGGGUUUUUUGGAUGUUUUGGUUCUGAUGUGGAUGCUAUUGAUUACUACAGAUCAGAGAUUGAGAAGAUAGGAAAGGAAGAAGCUGACGAGCAUAAAAAAGUCAUGAAGGAUCCCAAGUCAAUUAUGCCAGCGGCCUUUGUUUCAUUUCGUUCACGGUGGGGUGCAGCUGUUGCCGCUCAGACACAACAAACCAGCAACCCAACUGUCUGGCUGACUGAAUGGGCUCCAGAACCCCGUGAUGUGUACUGGAAUAAUCUAUCCAUUCCAUUUGUUUCCCUCACAGUUAGGAGGUUGAUAAUUGGCGUGGCCUUCUUCUUCCUCAACUUCUUUUAUGUCAUUCCAAUAGCAUUCGUACAGACUCUUGCAAAUGUUGAAGGCAUAGAGAAGGCACUACCAUUUCUAGAACCUUUCAUUGAAACACCCACCAUUAAAUCAUUCAUCCAAGGGUUUCUUCCUGGACUUGCUUUGAAGAUUUUCCUCAUAUUGCUUCCAACUAUACUGAUGUUCAUGUCUCAGUUUGAAGGAUUGGUAUCACAUUCAUCACUAGAGCGAAGAACUGCAUCCAAGUAUUUUAUAUUCUUGUUCUUCAAUGUAUUCCUGGGGAGCAUCGUUACAGGAUCUGCUUUGGAGCAGCUUAAUACCUACCUUCAUCAGUCAGCUAAUGACAUUCCAAGGAUCAUCGGUGUGGCCAUACCAAUGAAGGCAACAUUUUUCAUUACAUAUGUAAUGGUUGAUGGUUGGACUGGUGUAGCUCUUGAAGUUCUGAGAUUGAAGGCAUUUAUAAUGUUCCACUUGAAAAACUUUUUCCUGGUCAAGACAGAGAAGGACAGAGAAGAGGCAAUGGAUCCUGGUAGUAUCUGUUUGUACUGGUCCGAGCCUCGAAUACAGCUAUAUUUCUUGCUUGGUCUUGUGUAUGCUGUGGUGACACCACUCUUGCUUCCAUUCAUAUUGGUAUUCUUUGCGCUGGCUUACGUCGUCUACCGCCACCAGAUCAUAAAUGUCUACAAUCAACGAUACGAGAGCGGCGCGCAGUUCUGGCCCAAUGUGCAUCUACGCAUCAUCACAGCCUUGAUCGUGUCGCAGCUGCUUUUCCUUGGGCUGUUAAGCACGAAAGGUUUGGAGGAGGCGACGCCGGCUCUUCUUGCUCUUCCCGUGUUAACCAUUUGGUUCCACAAGUACUGCAAGCACCGGUACGAACCCGCGUUUGUGAGAAACCCGCUACAGGAGGUGAUGAGGAAGGAUACGCUAGAACGCGCGAGGGAGCGCAACUUCGACCUCAAGGCGUACCUGGCGGACGCGUACCUUCACCCGGUGUUCAAGAGCAAUGAGGCAGACAAGUUCUAUGUCGCCGACGAUCCCGGGGCGGAGGCGGUGAUCGUGCCGACCAAGCGGCAGUCCCGGAGGAUCACUCCGGUGCAGAGCGAGGACGGCGGCUCUGGCAGGCUCAACCUGAUGGAGUCCGUUCACGAAAGAUAG
rnacentral:rRNA from 1 species